UACGUAGGGGGCAAGCGUUGUCCGGAAUCAUUGGGCGUAAAGCGCGUGUAGGCGGCUCGAUAAGUCUGCUGUGAAAGUUCAGGGCUCAACCCUGAAAUGCCGGUGGAAACUGUCGAGCUAGAGUCCGGAAGAGGCGAGUGGAAUUCCUGGUGUAGCGGUGAAAUGCGCAGAUAUCAGGAGGAACACCAAUGGCGAAGGCAGCUCGCUGGGACGGUACUGACGCUGAGACGCGAAAGCGUGGGUAGCAAACAGG
rnacentral:rRNA from 1 species